UCUGUGCACCAUGCGAUAGAAGGUCUCCCCUCCGCACGCACCCUCGAACGUCCCUCCGCGCCCAGGAACUCCCUCUGCCCUACGAUCCAUCUGUGCCUCUCGCCUCUCUCCUUCCCCGCCGCCACCGCGCCUCGCAUCCUUCCCCUCCGCCGCCGCCCCUCACGUCCCACCGACCGCGUUCGUGAUCCAUCGCCACACCGUCGCGUCCUCCAUCGCACCGUCGGCCCAUCCUCCGCUCCAUCCCCUCCCGCAUUGACACGCCCGACGCGUGCGCCUCCGCCUCCGCCGCCGCGCUCGGGGGCCCUGGCGGGAUCCCCAGGGCGCCGCCGCGGCGAUCCUCUCUGCCGGCGCCUUCAUCUCCGCGUUCGUCAUUAGCACCGUCGCGCUCAUCGCUGCGCCGUGUGCCGUGCUCCGGCAUCGUUCGUGCGGGACAUGUUCUUCUACCUCCUCACAGCGUUCGAGCUCUUCUACAUCUACCUCAACGCCGAGAUAGAGAAGGGGUGCCGAGGAUGAGGUCCACCCGCGCAUCGCCCGCACUAGGGCAGUGUCCCCCACUGUCAUCGACCCGAGGAGGUUGGAUUCGCGGCAUCCGCGGCGGAGGAUAGAUCCAAAGAGGUGCUGGCCGAAUGCGCCACCAUGAGCUCCAUCCGCUGCACCCUCGUUCCCAUCGUUCCUGCUGUAGCUGUCGGCAUCAUCUGCAGAGCCUCAUGUGAUCCACGGACAUGCCGGCAAGCUCUACCCCUGGCCGUGAUUGCUCAAGUGCACCAAGAGGAUUUGCACAAGUGAAUGCUUGACAUUGCUCUUGCUCUUGGUUCAGUUGGGAGGCUUGCAGAUAUGUUUUUUGGGCUGCAUAGAUCACUACAUAAUGUCUUUUUGUUUCUUGUGUCGCCUGAGUAUGGAUUUACUUUGAUUCAGUGUCUUUGUUCUGCAUCCAGAGCAUGUCCUGAACUCCUGAUCAUCACACUGCAUAGCUCUUCUGCAAUGCUUAAAUAUUUUAGUGUGAAAGAUAUCCCUUUGGCGCUUUGUGUUUUGGAAUAACAGCAAGCACUUGAACUGAUAUAUCUACUCUUAUAUUGGCAUCGUACUACUCUUGUUUUUCUUUACUUUCUGCACGUGCUUAUUAAUUUUGAAAAGUCAGUUUAGUUUAACAUGUAUAUUUGUGAUCUCAAUAUGCUAGGAAUGCUCGGUGCUAUGCAUACCCAAGAAGCUACUCCCUAACUGGGCUGAGAAAUAAGUUAGCAGGAGAGUGAGAGAUUGCUACAACCACUGAGCACAAGGAGUGACCAUCGAUCUGCACCUUUUAUUUCCCCUUAUCAUGCUAAUGUAGUAUCAAGAUAAAUAUAGAUAUUUAGAGUACAAAUGGCAGAGGUCCUAGCUACUUUGACUAGAGUUGGGAGGCUGUGAGUCUGAUUGAUAGCUCCAAAUGCUUUUGGCUUUUCAGAAGCACGAGAGCACAAAGGCCUAAAUUCUGAGUUGUGGCAUGUGCCCGCCCUCAUGUGUUUGUUUUUUUGGUAGUGGUGUAUUUUUCCUCAUCACAUGGCAUUUCCAUUUGCUCUGGAUUGGAACAGACCAGCAGAAUGGUGAGGCUCUGCAUUAUCAUUUUAUCUUUGAAAUCUUCGGAUGGAGCCAUUUCCCCUACUACUCCAUGUCUCCAUCAUUUUAAAAUGCUUCUUUUUGUAAAUAAUUGCAUUGAUAUCAAAACCAAAGCAGAUUUUUGGUAGUAUAUGCCUAAUCAAUAGUUGUGUACAAAAGUGAUAUACCGUUAUUUUGGCAAGGCACCUGAUGAAAUAGUGAUUCUAUUGUGCAACAGACUAUUUUGCAUGCUUAGGAAGGCUAAAUUUUACUGUGGAUAAAGGCACAGGCAUUUAUUUAGGGCAUGUGUUAAAAGUAUAAAAUUAGAGAGCCCUGAAAUUGUUCGUGUAUUAUACAUAUUAUAAGGCAUUAGUAAUCAAGAACAAUAUCUGAACCAUAUAUAGAGUCGACCAUAGUUUAGAAAAAAAACCUAUUGUUUCCUUUCAGAAAUAGCAGAUUUUGGGAAAAAACAUUGAGUGUUGUUCCUUCUGGAAAUCAAGUGCAUACAGACCAAGGAACUGUUCUUCGCUGCUGCCAUUCAGCGUGUGCUGAAGACUUUCUUGUCGUAUGUAGAGGUUCGUGCUAAGAGGGCUCAAUGUGCUAGGAGGAGGACGACCCCAACGUUGAUGUUCCCCACCGGUUGCUACCUCCAGUACAAGGAGAUUGUGGGCGCAGGGGCUUUCAAGACAUCUCUCGAUCUCCUCCUCCCAUCAGCUGUUCAGUAGGAGUAAUUCAGUAGCAAAUGACUUUAAUUUCUUUUGGAAGUUUGGAUUGAAGAAAAUAGUGGGCGAUGAAAGCAAGGGAUUUGUGAAGUUUGUGAAGUACAUACGACAGAGAAAGGAUCAAGAGAAGCAGGAAGUGGAAGUUCACUUGGGCUCCAGUAACCAAUCAUGAUAAGCAUGGAAAACUGACAUAGUGCAUACUUCUUACUUCUUAGAGAAAAUUGACAUUAGAGAACUGAAUUGUAUUGGCUAAAAAAGGGGAGGAUUAUGCUACUCAUGGUGCUAACCGUAAGAAUCAAAAAGAAACAAUGCAGUGCUUCUGUUGCCAAUAGCAUUGCAAGUUUUGUAAAUUGCAGGUAUUAAAUAAACCUGAUGAAA